rnacentral:tRNA from 1 species
ACCUGGCUGGCUUAGUCAGUAGAGCACAUAACUCUUGAUCAUGGGGCCGUGAGUUUGAGCCCCACAUAGGGUG